rnacentral:rRNA from 1 species
AAAUAGAUACCUAGGUAGUCCACGCCGUAAACGAUGAGUGCUAAGUGUUAGAGGGUUUCCGCCCUUUAGUGCUGCAGCUAACGCAUUAAGCACUCCGCCUGGGGAGUACGGUCGCAAGACUGAAACUCAAAGGAAUUGACGGGGGCCCGCACAAGCGGUGGAGCAUGUGGUUUAAUUCGAAGCAACGCGAAGAACCUUACCAGGUCUUGACAUCCUCUGACAACUCUAGAGAUAGAGCGUUCCCCUUCGGGGGACAGAGUGACAGGUGGCGCAUGGUUGUCGUCAGCUCGUGUCGUGAGAUGUUGGGUUAAGCCCCGCAACGAGCGCAACCCUUGAUCUUAGUUGCCAGCAUUUAGUUGGGUACUCUAAGGUGACUGCCGGUGACAAACCGGAGGAAGGUGGGGAUGACGUCAAAUCAUCAUGCCCCUUAUGGCCUGGGCUACACACGUGCUACAAUGGAUGGUACAAAGGGCUGCAAGACCGCGAGGUCAAGCCAAUCCCAUAAAACCAUUCUCAGUUCGGA